CGCUAGCUACAGGCUUAACACAUGCAAGUCGAGCGUCAGCAUCAUCAAAGCUUGCUUUGAUGGAUGGCGACCGGCGCACGGGUGAGUAACACGUAUCCAACCUGCCGACAACACUGGGAUAGCCUUUCGAAAGAAAGAUUAAUACCGGAUGGCAUAAUUAUUCCGCAUGGGAUAAUUAUUAAAGAAUUUCGGUUGUCGAUGGGGAUGCGUUCCAUUAGGCAGUUGGCGGGGUAACGGCCCACCAAACCUACGAUGGAUAGGGGUUCUGAGAGGAAGGUCCCCCACAUUGGAACUGAGACACGGUCCAAACUCCUACGGGAGGCAGCAGUGAGGAAUAUUGGUCAAUGGACGAGAGUCUGAACCAGCCAAGUAGCGUGAAGGAUGACUGCCCUAUGGGUUGUAAACUUCUUUUAUACGGGAAUAAAGUGAGCCACGUGUGGCUUUUUGUAUGUACCGUAUGAAUAAGGAUCGGCUAACUCCGUGCCAGCAGCCGCGGUAAUACGGAGGAUUCGAGCGUUAUCCGGAUUUAUUGGGUUUAAAGGGAGCGUAGGCGGGUUGUUAAGUCAGUUGUGAAAGUUUGCGGCUCAACCGUAAAAUUGCAGUUGAUACUGGCGACCUUGAGUGCAACAGAGGCAGGCGGAAUUCGUGGUGUAGCGGUGAAAUGCUUAGAUAUCACGAAGAACUCCGAUUGCGAAGGCAGCUUACUGGAUUGUAACUGACGCUGAUGCUCGAAAGUGUGGGUAUCAAACAGGAUUAGAUACCCUGGUAGUCCACACAGUAAACGAUGAAUACUCGCUGUUGGCGAUAUACAGUCAGCGGCCAAGCGAAAGCAUUAAGUAUUCCACCUGGGGAGUACGCCGGCAACGGUGAAACUCAAAGGAAUUGACGGGGGCCCGCACAAGCGGAGGAACAUGUGGUUUAAUUCGAUGAUACGCGAGGAACCUUACCCGGGCUUAAAUUGCAACUGACGGAACCGGAAACGGUUCUUUCUUCGGACAGUUGUGAAGGUGCUGCAUGGUUGUCGUCAGCUCGUGCCGUGAGGUGUCGGCUUAAGUGCCAUAACGAGCGCAACCCUUACGGGUAGUUACCAUCAGGUUAUGCUGGGGACUCUACCCGGACUGCCGUCGUAAGAUGUGAGGAAGGUGGGGAUGACGUCAAAUCAGCACGGCCCUUACGUCCGGGGCUACACACGUGUUACAAUGGGGGGUACAGAAGGCAGCUACACGGCGACGUGGUGCUAAUCCCAAAAGCCUCUCUCAGUUCGGAUUGGAGUCUGCAACCCGACUCCAUGAAGCUGGAUUCGCUAGUAAUCGCGCAUCAGCCACGGCGCGGUGAAUACGUUCCCGGGCCUUGUACACACAGCCCG
rnacentral:rRNA from 1 species